rnacentral:rRNA from 1 species
GAUGAACGCUGGCGGCGUGCCUAAUACAUGCAAGUCGAACGAGGUGCUUUUGUAGCAAUACGAGAGUAUCCUAGUGGCGAACGGGUGAGUAACGCGUUGGUGACCUGCCCCAAAGUGUGGGAUAACAGUCCGAAAGGAUUGCUAAUACCUCAUGUGGCCAUCGGGUUUAGAAACCGAUGUCUAAAGCAGCAAUGCGCUUUGGGAGGGACCUGCGUCCCAUCAGCUAGUUGGUGAGGUAACGGCCCACCAAGGCUACGACGGGUAGGGGGCCUGAGAGGGUGGCCCCCCACAAUGGAACUGAAACACGGUCCAUACACCUACGGGUGGCAGCAGUAGGGAAUAUUGCACAAUGGGCGAAAGCCUGAUGCAGCAACGCCGCGUGAGCGAUGAAGGCUUUCGGGUCGUAAAGCUCUUUUCUGGGAGAUGAGAAAGGACAGUAUCCCAGGAAUAAGUCUCGGCUAACUACGUGCCAGCCGCCGCAGUAAUAC